AAGAACUUGUGUUCUCAGGAAGGAGCAGAAACUGUGAUUUAGUUCAAUAAGUGCAGCAAUCGAUUGUAUUUUUUUCCCUGAUGUGUUAGGCAUAUACUGUACAAGUUCAGCCGCUGAAGCCUUGGCUUGACCAGUGUAGAGGAAUCCCAGGUUGAGUACUUUCGAGAAGCAACUCUUGAGAAAGAGUUUAGGUUUUGCGCAACCUCGUGUGGAAUCUCUGUUGUUUUUAUAGUCGAACUUUUUGGAAAAUAUUUUGUAGGAUAAAUUAGUGCAGCAUCAACAAAGAAGCCAUCUAGCUGCCGUGUAUAUGUUCAAAAGCCAAAAGGCGAUAUAUACAAAGUUUUAAAUCUUCUGAGUAGUUCUCCAGUAAUUGUAGCAAUUUGUAUUCUUUUUUUAGUUCAAAAGCCAAAAGGUGAUAUAUACGAAGUUUUAAAUA